UACGUAGGGUGCAAGCGUUAAUCGGAAUUACUGGGCGUAAAGCGUGCGCAGGCGGCUUUGCAAGACAGAUGUGAAAUCCCCGGGCUUAACCUGGGGACUGCAUUUGUGACUGCAUGGCUCGAGUACGGUAGAGGGGGAUGGAAUUCCGCGUGUAGCAGUGAAAUGCGUAGAUAUGCGGAGGAACACCGAUGGCGAAGGCAGCCCCCUGGGUCGACACUGACGCUCAGGCACGAAAGCGUGGGGAGCAAACAGG
rnacentral:rRNA from 1 species